rnacentral:rRNA from 1 species
AGAAUCAACGCUGGCGGCGUGCCUAACACAUGCAAGUCGAACGAGAAAGUGGAGCAAUCCAUGAGUAAAGUGGCGCACGGGUGAGUAACACGUGACUAACCUACCUUUUAGUGGGGGAUAACCUAGGGAAACCUGGGCUAAUACCGCAUAAUACCUACGGGUCAAAGCAGCAAUGCGCUGAAAGAGGGGGUCGCGGUCGAUUAGUUAGUUGGCAGGGUAAUGGCCUACCAAGACUGUGAUCGAUAUCCGGCCUGAGAGGGCGCACGGACACACUGGAACUGAAACACGGUCCAGACUCCUACGGGAGGCAGCAGUGGGGAAUUUUGCGCAAUGGGGGAAACCCUGACGCAGCAACGCCGCGUGGAGGAUGACGGCCUUCGGGUUGUAAACUCCUUUACCAGGGAAGAGCAAGGACGGUACCUGGUGAAUAAGCCCGGCUAACUCCGUGCCAGCGAGCCGC